rnacentral:rRNA from 1 species
AUACGGAGGGUGCAAGCGUUACUCGGAAUCACUGGGCGUAAAGGACGCGUAGGCGGGUUGGUAAGUCAGGUGUGAAAUCCUACAGCUUAACUGUAGAACUGCACUUGAAACUACCAACCUAGAGUAUGGGAGGGGGAGAUGGAAUUAGUGGUGUAGGGGUAAAAUCCGUAGAUAUCGCUAGGAAUACCGAAAGCGAAGGCGAUCUCCUGGAACAUAACUGACGCUAAGGCGUGAAAGCGUGGGGAGCAAACAGGAUUAGAAACCCCAGUAGUCC